GACGAACGCUGGCGGCGUGCUUAACACAUGCAAGUCGAACGAGAACGCCCUGUGUUUGUGGGGGUCUCGCUAGGCGAACAGGUGUGAAACACGCGAGUAACCCGCGCUUGACAGUGGGGUAUCACCUUCGAACACGGGCGAAUAACGCGCAUAAGUCUUCGCAGCGCGGGGGUGGUAGGAGAGUUGCGGCGGAUGCUGAUGGUGACGGGUGGACUCGCGGUGUAGUAGGUGGUUGGUGAGGUCACGGCUCAGCAAGGUAGGGAUGCAUAGCCGACCGGAGGGGGUGAUAGGCCACAUUGGGACUGAGCCACGGCCCAAACUCCUACGGGAGGCAGCAGUAGGGAACCGUCCGCAAUGGACGCAAGUCUGACGGAGCAACGCCGCGUGAGUGAAGAAGGUUUUCGGAUCGUAAAACUCUGUUGUGAGAGAAGAACAAGUGCUAGAGGAACUGUUAGCGCCUUGACGGUAUCUAACCAGAAAGCCACGGCUAACUACGUG
rnacentral:rRNA from 1 species